rnacentral:lncRNA from 1 species
UCUCUCUCUCUCUCUCUCUCUCUCUUAGGCCCUCAUCCAGUCAGGAAGUCACCCUAGCUCACAUUUCUUAUAAUUAUUUUGUAUUUUGAACUAUUGGACAUGUUGCAUCAAAUUGUAGGUAAUGUUUUAUAAAAAUUAAACUAUUGAUUAUAUAAUGUCGAGAAUUUCAAUCGGCUCGUUUAGAGCUCGAGCUCGGCUCGACUCGAAAUUAGGCUCGCUCGAGCUCGGCUCGAAUUAAUUUCAAGUCGAGCUUGAGCCUAGAUUUAGACUCGAAAUUAAUUUCAAGUCGAAUUUGAGCUGACAUAAGCUCGCUCGAGCUCGGCUCGUUUCCACCCCUAGUCGUAAUAAGAAUGUAUUUAUUCAGACUUGCGAGA